rnacentral:rRNA from 1 species
CCUACGGGUGGCAGCAGUGAGGAAUAUUGGUCAAUGGGCGCGAGCCUGAACCAGCCAAGUCGCGUGAGGGAAGACGGCCCUAUGGAUUGUAAACCUCUUUUGUCGGGGAGCAAAAGACGCUACGCGUGGCGUUCCGAGAGUACCCGAAGAAAAAGCAUCGGCUAACUCCGUGCCAGCAGCCGCGGUAAUACGGAGGAUGCGAGCGUUAUCCGGAUUUAUUGGGUGUAAAGGGUGCGCAGGCGGAAGAUCAAGUCAGCGGUAAAAUUGAGGGGCUCAACCUCUUCGAGCGGUUGAGACUGGUGUUCUUGAGUGAGGGAGAGGUAUGCGGAAUGCGUGGUGUAGCGGUGAAAUGCGUAGAUAUCACGCAGAACUCCGAUUGCGAAGGCAGCAUACCGGCGCUCAACUGACGCUGAUGCACGAAAGUGUGGGUAGCGAACAGGAUUAGAUACCCUAGUAGUC